rnacentral:lncRNA from 1 species
AUGUUUCUGCCCCACCCCUGCAUCAAUGCCUACAUUUGUAGCUAUGAACAGUCUCUAAGGAGGCUGUGCCAAGUUCUAAGCCGGGACUUUCAAAGACUUGCCUGGGUGCUGCCGCCUCUGGACAUAAACUUUGAGAGUGCUGUACAGUCUGGACUGAGCUUAGCUACCUCUGCUGUUGAACUUGAAGCCUUCCUGUCGUAUGUGGUGUGCAUCCAUGUGGACUAGUUGCACAUGUUCAGUAUGCUGUCCCUGAGGUCAAGAGUCAUCCGACUGACGCUUCAGCCCAGGAGUUUGGGCUGCGAUGAGCUGUGAUUGCACCACCGCCACUGCACUGCAGCCUGGAUAACAGAGCUGAGACCUCAUCUCUAAUAAAUAAGUAAAUAUUUUUUUAAAAAAUUCUUUU